rnacentral:tRNA from 1 species
UCCCUGAUAGCUUAGUUGGGUAAAGAAUCCGCCUGCAAUGCAGGAGACCCUGGUUUGAUUCCUGGGUUGGGAA